AACUAAGCAAGUCACUGCUUCUUAGAUAGACAGCUGCAGUGUGCACUUGGAGCUUGGCGUGACACAAUCUCGAGCAAAAGCAGAACCUCCGGGUCUUUUGUCAUUUACCACGAACUGCAGGAUGUUACCACCAAAGCACCGCAGAAGUCUUAGAACCCACCACCCUUUCAUUUGACGUUUCCAGAAAAAGAUAGGUGCACCCCAGAGAGUUUAUGGCACAUAAAUAGGUAACAAGUUCAUAGUGGAUUCAAGAUAGAGAAACACUUCACAGAGAAUGCAAGAACUAAGAAAGGCUACCAUGUUGGGAGCCUCUGUUCACGGAAGAACUAUCAGAGGCAAUAAUGCGUGGGCCAGAAAUUGCAAACUGGUGAACGGCAAGCUGACUGGGGUGCACAGACAUGCAUGGUUUCUUUGGCCAGGACGGUGUUUUUCAAACUCUAAGCGAGCUGCAAUGGCACCAGCUACUUUUGUAACGGUGCAGGGCUACACCACAGGUCCCAGCUUCCCCAGCGUAGAGCAGGGACCACGAGACUGAGUUCUGCCAAUGGAACAUACGCUUCUGGGCAGUGUCAUGGCAAAUCCUUCCCCCAGUAUUCGAGCUGUAUCCGCAGCUGGACGCACGGAGGGAAACUAGCGUAGCAGAUGUAGAUCCUCAUGAAGAAGAGAGCCUCUGCCCCUGAAGGAGCUGACAGGGUCUCCACCGUGACCUGCACUGGCUGUGAUGGGAGGGAACAGCAACACCCCUGAGCUGUUGAGUUUGUGUGCGACAACCGUGUCUUUGUUUGGGUCCCUCUAAAAUCGGGUUAUAAGAUAUGGAUUCCCGUGCAAGUGGCUUAUUUGGAGGCGAUCCCUUGGAAACAUCGGUGGGUGCGUGGGGAGGUGGGAUGGGGAAGGAGUGGAAACCAAUGAAUGAUACAUUGUCUGUCAGCGUCUGCUGUGGGCAGCUCAGUCACACAAGGGAACGCUGGGGGAACACAGAAGACGCCUCAGGGCUGUCUCAGCGGAGGGGUGAAGAGACUGGGGAUUCAUGCACUCCCCGUGUGUCUGUCAUUGGUGGGACGAUGCCUCCAAAAGCAUUAAUUCUUCAACCUUCCGGGCAUACCCUGCACAAAUGCUGAGUGCGCAUACAGUGUUUUGAGCAAGACUUAAAGUUGUGUUCAGGAGGCAGCGUGGUGGGCGGAGACAAGUGCCGAGUGGACACGAGGAGGCCACCAACAACGUCUGCUGAAAAUGUUUAGCCCACACUGACUGAUGCAGGUGCCAACAUCCGAAACUAGACGGCAACAUAAAACUCUGAAUUUCUGACCUCUCUCAAAACAUAAGCAGAUAGUCACCAGUGGGUCUGCAUUUCUGUAUGGCGGUAACUGGUUGGAGCGGAGUAGCGAUUGAUGCUUUAGAUGCAGGUAGUGUCUCUAACUUUCCACAGUCGCCACUGCACCCUACUGUCUCUUAACCGCACCCUAUUUCCCUUGUUUAUGUCGUUUUAAUGGUCCUUACAGUAGGCGUUUGAAUCUGUAACCUCCGGUGCUCUAGUACGACAAGGCUUUUGUUUCUUUGCUUCUUUUUCAUUCCAGCUGCAUUUUCCUCCCUCCCUACUCCACUUUGAAAGCUGCUCAAAAUAUGUCUCCGUGAAACCUUCCCACUGACGCCCACCUACUACACUCACGACACUUCUGUAGCCAUUUGGACCUAUAGUGUCCAAUAAGUCACUGGCUACAUGUAGCGAUUAACAUUUAAAUUCCAGCUCCUUAAAAGUAACUAACUAAGAUUAAUGAAAAUUAAACAUUCAGUCCCGUCCACUGCACUGGCCACAUUUCAAGGGACCGAUAGUCCUACGAGGUCAGUGGCUAGCAUAUUGGACACCACAGCGAGAACACAUUUCCCUGAUUACACCAAGUUCUUUCGGAUACGCCGAUUGAUAGAAUGGGCUGUCAUUCUUGCUCUUGGCUUUUCUUGUAGGUGAUCUUGUGUUUUCCAUAAAUAUCCACCCUUUAAGAUAAAAUCCACUUCAAAAAGGAGAGAGCUUGCUCAGCAUACCAUCCAUUCUUUCUCCCCCUCAAGUACCUGUACAAUUGUCCGCAGUUAACAUUGUGAACGUUUCUCAAGUUUCUGCGUGGGGUUCUGUAUCGCGGUCCCCUGUGGUCUCAUUCAGGGAGAUACUGUGUGUUCUCCUGUCCCCUCAGGCUUACGUGGAAAACUGGGAAAGUUGCUCCGGGUGGAAAAGACAGGAUCAGGUAUAAUUUCAACAUCAUACCCUUGCGGGAUCGGAAAGAAGCUCAUUAAGACCACUUAUUGCUUUCGCCUUAAAAAAAAGAAAAAAGUAUGGGUUCCAUACUGUGA